rnacentral:rRNA from 1 species
AUUGAACGCUGGCGGAAGGCCUAACACAUGCAAGUCGAGCGGAGCGGCGGACGGGUGAGUAAUGCCUAGGAAUCUGCCUGGUAGUGGGGGAUAACGUCCGGAAACGGGCGCUAAUACCGCAUACUAUCAGAUGAGCCUAGGGCGGAUUAGCGAGUUGGUGGGGUAAAGGCCUACCAAGACGAGGAUCCGUAACUGGUCUGAGAGGAUGAUCAGUCACACUGGAACUGAGACACGGACCAAACUCCUACGGGAGGCAGCAUGGGGGAAUAGUGGACAAAUGGCGAAAGCCUGAUACAGCCAUGCGGCGUGUGGGAAGAAGGUCUUCGGAUUGUAAAGCCCUUUUGUUGGGAAAGCGGUACCCAAAGAAUAAGCACCGGCGAACUUCGUGCCAGCCGCCGCGGUAAUAC